rnacentral:rRNA from 1 species
UUUCGCAAUGCCCGAAAGGGUGACGAAGCGACGCCGCGUGAGUGAGGAAGGCCUUCGGGUUGUAAAGCUCUGUCAGGAGUUAAGAAAUAUAAGUGUGUUAAUACCACAUUUAUUUGACGAAGGCUCCAAAGGAAGCCACGGCUAACUCUGUGCCAGCAGCCGCGGUAAUACAGAGGUGGCAAGCGUUGUUCGGAAUUAUUGGGCGUAAAGAGCACGUAGGUGGGUUUGUAAGUCAGAUGUGAAAGCCUUCUGUUCAACGGAAGAAUUGCAUCUGAAACUGCGAGUCUUGAGUGUAGGAGGGGAGAAUGGAACUUCUGGUGGAGCGGUGAAAUGCGUAGAUAUCAGAAAGAACGCCGGCGGCGAAAGCGAUUCUCUGGCCUAUUACUGACACUCGGUGUGCGAAAGCUAGGGGAGCAAACGGGAUUAGAUACCCCGGUAGUCCUAGCUGUAAACGAUGGGCACUAAGUAGAGGGGUUUUA